rnacentral:rRNA from 1 species
CUCUAGAGUUUGAAUCCUGGCUCAGGACGAACGCUGGCGGCGUGCCUAAUACAUGCAAGUCGAGCGGACAGAAGGGAGCUUGCUCCCGGAUGUUAGCGGCGGACGGGUGAGUAACACGUGGGUAACCUGCCUGUAAGACUGGGAUAACUCCGGGAAACCGGAGCUAAUACCGGAUAGUUCCUUGAACCGCAUGGUUCAAGGAUGAAAGACGGUUCGGCUGUCACUUACAGAUGGACCCGCGGCGCAUUAGCUAGUUGGUGGGGUAAUGGCUCACCAAGGCGACGAUGCGUAGCCGACCUGAGAGGGUGAUCGGCCACACUGGGACUGAGACACGGCCCAACUCCUACGGGAGGCAGCAGUAGGGAAUCUUCCGCAAUGGACGAAAGUCUGACGGAGCAACGCCGCGUGAGUGAUGAAGGUUUUCGGAUCGUAAAGCUCUGUUGUUAGGGAAGAACAAGUGCGAGAGAACUGCUCGCACCUUGACGGUACCUAACCAGAAAGCCACGGCUAACUACGUGCCAGCAGCCGCGGUAAUACGUAGGUGGCAAGCGUUGUCCGGAAUUAUUGGGCGUAAAGGGCUCGCAGGCGGUUUCUAAGUCUGAUGUGAAAGCCCCCGGCUCAACCGGGGAGGGUCAUUGGAAACUGGGAAACUUGAGUGCAGAAGAGGAGAGUGGAAUUCCACGUGUAGCGGUGAAAUGCGUAGAGAUGUGGAGGAACACCGUGGCGAAGGCGACUCUCUGGUCUGUAACUGACGCUGAGGAGCGAAAGCGUGGGGAGCGAACAGGAUUAGAUACCCUGGUAGUCCACGCCGUAAACGAUGAGUGCUAAGUGUUAGGGGGUUUCCGCCCUUAGUGCUGCAGCUAACGCAUAAGCACUCCGCCUGGGGAGUACGGUCGCAAGACUGAAACUCAAAGGAAUUGACGGGGGCCCGCACAAGCGGUGGAGCAUGUGGUUUAAUUCGAAGCAACGCGAAGACCUUACCAGGUCUUGACAUCCUCUGACAACCCUAGAGAUAGGGCUUUCCCUUCGGGGACAGAGUGACAGGUGGUGCAUGGUUGUCGUCAGCUCGUGUCGUGAGAUGUUGGGUUAAGUCCCGCAACGGCGCAACCCUUGAUCUUAGUUGCCAGCAUUCAGUUGGGCACUCUAAGGUGACUGCCGGUGACAAACCGGAGGAAGGUGGGGAUGACGUCAAAUCAUCAUGCCCCUUAUGACCUGGGCUACACACGUG